GCCAGGUGUGGUGGCGCGCACCUGUAAUCCCAGCUACUCAGGAGGCUGAGGCAGGAGAAUUGCUUGAACCUGAGAGGUGGAGGUUACAGUGAGCGGAGAUCGUGCCACUGCACUCCAACCUGGGUGACAAAGCGAGACUCUGUCUCCA
rnacentral:SRP_RNA from 1 species